rnacentral:tRNA from 1 species
UCCCUGGUAGCUCAGACGGUAAAGCAUCUGCCUAUAAUGUGGGAGACCCAGGUUCGAUCCCUGGGUUGAGAA